AGUGAGAUAAUGGACUGGAAGUGCAAAUUGUGUAUAAACGUCUAUCGUUCCAGAGUCCACCUCCUCAGACACUACAGAGUAAAGCACAGCAUCUGCUCUAAAAAUUGAAGGACGGUUAUUGCUGACUAUAAAAAGGUUCUUACCAGUUACAAACAAUGGAGGCAUGUAAAAGCACAUCAGCAAGCACAGUGUCUUGUGCAAUGAUACUGCGUGUUGUUGAAGCAGACCGUGCAAGGAAAGUAAAACUUAGUGCACGACCAUCCUCCGUUAGUGCCCUUAUUCAAAUUUUAAAAGACCAACUUCAGCUGGACCUUGAGUUCAGUUUACAAUAUGAGGACCCUGAUUUUAAUAAUCAGCUGACUUCCUUGGAUGAUAUAAAUUAGUUGCCUCAAAAGGCAGUGGUCCAUAUCCUGCCAGUGGAAUCAGAGGGCUCCACUACAUCUACUGAAAUUCUAUCAGAUGUGUCGAAUUCUAAACGUUCUAAGA